rnacentral:rRNA from 1 species
UACGGCCAUACCACUCUGAACAUGCCUGAGCUCAUCUGAUCUCGGGGAGCUGAGCAGGGUCAGGCCUGGUUAGUACUUGGAUGGAAAAGCAUAAGAUAAUUAAGGAAAGGCCAAGC